rnacentral:lncRNA from 1 species
AUUCUCCAAGCCUUCCCUUGCCUCUCCUUACAUAUCUAAACCUUCCCCAUCCAUUCCUCCAUAUAACCAACCAUUCAACCACCAUAACCACCUUGUGCCGCCACCAUUGAAGGAGAGUGAGGCGCAGAGGCAGGACAGAGGGGAGAGAAGGCAAAGGCAAGGAGAAACUGACGGGAGCAACACAGAGAGUAAAGUUUCACUCCAUUUUUCUUGGUUUUAUCUUCUCAAACCCAUGUUUUACUUUUGGUUUAAUUUGUUAAUAAUGUGUAACUAAAUUUAUUUUGGCUAGAGGUUAAUUCAAAGCCAUGAAUAUAUUUGUAAUAUGAAUUGAUUACCUUCAGUUGUGAUUUCUGAGUUGUGAUUUAAUUUGCUUAACUGCUUGAUUGAUAACUAAUUUGUGUAUGUCGAUUAAGAGUGCACGCUUAAUUUUCAUGCAUGAAUUUGAUGCUAGAAUAUAAGGGAGUUUCACCUAAUCGUUAUGAACUUAUAUUCACAAGUAGUGAAGGUUGUUAUCCACAAUCGUGUUAAGUGAAUUCUAGGCUGGAUUAACAUGCGUAUUCCAUAGUUAUGAAUGCCUAGUCAAUGUUUAUGAUUUCCGUUGAACUUAAUGAUCUUUGUUGAAUGUCUCUAUCAUGCGUAUUCCAUAGUUAGGGAUUUUGAUGAGGAAUAAUUUGGUUUUGUAAUGCGUAUUCCAUUCAAUCCAAUGAAUCUAGGGAAAUCUAAGAGUUAAUUUAAGCGGACCUAAUUAACUUGGAACAUUGUCAUUCACAAUUUAUUGAAAGAACAACUGAAAAUCAAUUUAGGUUGCAUAUGUGUCAUGUGUGGAGAAAAACCCUCUAGCUAGUCCGUCAUCUAUCCUUUCACCUUAAUUUCAUGCUUUUGUCAAUUCUGUAAUUUAUUUAAGUUUAAUUUACUUCUCGUCAAAACCAAACCCCCCCAUUAUUAAAUUAUAUUAUUUAGUUAGUUUUCAUUGUUGUUAGUCUUUUAAUUCAAUUUCCGUCCAUUUCAGUUUCUAGUGUCUAAUUUGAUUGUUUUCAUUAUUUUGAGUCAUUCUAAGUGUGUUUCGAGUUAUUAGAGUUUUUAGCCUAGUUUUGUGUCCUUGAGUCUUGUUUAAUAUUUUUAAAUUAAUUUAGAAUAGAUUAGCAAUCCCUCCUAAUCACCGGCCUAGAACGAUACCCUACUUACAUCUAUACUACAAUUGUCAAAAAGAGGGUUUAAUUUGUGUGUCACGUAAUUCUCACAUCAACUAGGCUUUGAAAGUCAUGGGUUUUAUGAAUUGUUUUUGGAUGCAUGCCUACUUUAAAGUGUUUAUAGCUUGCAUAUGUAUUCAAAUGUUCAUACUUGUUCUUAGCUAGGACAAAAUGUUUCCUUCAUUUGCUUCUUUUGUUUUGCUCGACGACUAGAAAAAGCUAAGUGAGGGGGUAUUUGAUAGGAGCAUAUUUAUGCAACUUAGUUAGCUUGUUUCUUGGCAUUUACUUAGUUUAAUUCUAGUUAUUUUGGUACUUUAUGCUAUUUUCGUGUGUUUGUAGGUUCAAAUAACAAAGUUGGCAACAAAGUGCUAUUUGGAGCAUUUUGGAGCAUUUUUGGGCCAAGAUUGUAUAGUACAAGCAUGGAGACAUGAGGAUGGACGUUUUUUAAGAUUAGAAGGCUAGAAAUCAGCAUGUGUGUGUGCAAGUGUGUUGACCUACAACUACAAGCAUCAUAGCUGCCAUGUGAUGACAGAAAAUGUGUUGAUUGCUAGCUGAAAUGAUGAAGAUGAACAUGGCACAUGGAAGAAACAGGACAGCACACACAUGCAAAAAGGAACACGGCAUGGGCUGAAAAGGUGUUGAUGGGCAGUAGAAAAUAAAAGAUGAAUGAGUGGAAAUGAUGAGUACAUGGACAGCACACACAUGGGAAAGAAAGGCAUGACAUGGGCAAAGAAUGGGUUGAUUUGUGGCUAAAAUUAUGAAGAGCAUGUGUGUGUGUGAGUGUAACAGCUAGUAUAUGCGGAGAUACAACAUAAACCACACCACAACAAAGCAUGACAUCUCACAAAUCCAUUCCCUUCCAUCCUUUGCCGUGAGCUCAAUCCACUACACCCAUUACAUCAAUUCAUUACCAAACAUCCAUCCACUACACCAUUACAUCCACUCAUUACCAAACACUCAUCCACCACACCCAUUACAUGCACUCAUUACCAAACAUCCAUCCACCACACCUAUUACAUCCACUCAUUACCAAACAUCCAUCCACCACAUCCAUUACAUCCACUUAUUAACAAACAUCCAUCCACUCAUUACCAAACACUCAUCUAUCACACCCAUUACAUCCACUCAUUACCACUCCCUUAGCUAGGGGGAAUUCGAAACCAUGUUCAUGCUUGCAAUAUGAUUUGAUUACUUUCAGUUGUGAUUCAUAAGUUGUGAAUUCAAUUUACUUAUCCAUUUGAAUUAAAACUGAUUUGUGUAUGUUGGUUGAGAGUGCACGCUUAAUUUUCAUGCAUAAAUCUGAUGUGAGGAUAUAAGGGAGUUUCACCUAAUCGUUAUGAACUGAUAUUCACAAGUAGUAAAUGUUGCUCAUCACAACCGUGUUAAGUAAAUUCUUGGCAUAAGUUUCAUGCAAUUCAUAGUUACAAGUGUUUCGUCAAUGCUUAUGAUUUUCAUAGAACUUAAUGAUUCUUGCUUGUAUCUCUAUUAUGAAAUUCAUGUAGGGAACUUGUGGGGAAUGCUUUGGGUUGUUGUAUGCAAUCAUCCAAUUCAAUGAAAUUAGGAAAAUUUGAAGGUUAAUUAGUGCAAUUCACAGUUAAUCUGGGGCGUUGAGAAUUCGUAGUUUAUUGAAAAGUAACUGGAAAUCAUUUUGUUUGCAAGUGUGUCAUGUGUGGAGAAGAACCUCCUUGCUAGCCUUCCAUCCAUUCAAUCUACUCAAAUUCGUGCAGAUUUCAUUAGUUCUUUAAUUUACUUGUUUUGUUUUCAAAUUCGUCAAAACCAAAACCCCUUUUACCUUGUUGAGUCAUAUUACUUAGAAACUGAUUUAGUUUGUGUUUUUAAGUAUUUCGAACCAAGUUAAAACCAAAAUUCGUCCAAAAGUGUAUUUAGAGUCCAAAUCUACCCAGUUUGUGUUUUUAAGCAAAUUUGAGCGUUUUUAGCUUGUUUUGAGUUCUUUGAGUUUGUUUUGAAUUAUUUGAGUCUAGUUUAGUGUUUUUAACUUUGUUUAUAUGUUUUUAAGUCAAUUUAGAGGUUAUUAGCAAGCCCUUCUAAUCCCCAGUCCAGAACGAUCCCUACUUACAUUCUUUACUACAAUUGAUACAAGAGGGUUUAAUUUGUGUGUUAAGUAAAUUCGCAUCAUGUGGUGCUGUGCAAGAGCCUGCAGCGGGGCUUCACUAUGUGAUGACUUUUGGUCACAGUUCCCCCCUUGGUGGUGACGUAGUCGUGGAGUGCAAGAAACUGCUUGCAUAGCAACUACGGGGUUGCGUAGUGCGAUUGCGUAGCAUUUUCUUUUUCUUUGCCAGUGUAGCGUGCCUUGAAGGACUGUCUAUAGCUGCCUUCUUUGUCGUGUUGCUCAAGUUUUGUGGUUGAUUUUUCUUUUUUUGCAGUCAUGGCAUUUUUUAUGCGAAAAUUUACUUAACACACAAAUUAAACCCUCUUGUUGACAAUUGUAGUAUGGAUAAGUAGGGAUCGUUCUUAAACCGGGGAUUAGGAGGGAUUGCUAAAACACUCUAAACUGACUCAAACAUAUAAAAAAAAGAGAGACUAAAAACACUUAACUAGACUCAAAGAACUCAAAACAAACUCAAAACUCUCAAAACAAGCUAAAAACGCUCAAAACUGCCUAAAAACAAUACUUAGGUAGCUUCUGUCUCUAACACACUUUUUGAACGAAUUUUGGUUUUAUAUUGAUUCAAAACACUUAAAAACACAAACUAAAUAGAUUCUAACUAAUUAGACACUCUGAAGUAAAAGGGGAUUUGGUUUUGGACGAAUUUGAAAACAAAACAAACAGAUUGUAAACUAAGCAAAAUUGGGACGAAUUUGAGGUAAAACUAUGGAUGAUAGGCUAGCUAGGAGGUUCUUCUCCACCCUUGACACACUUGCAAACAAAAUGAUUUCCAGUUGUUCUUCAAUACCCAUAAAUCCUCAAUGCCCCAGAUUAACUGUGAGUUUCACUAAUUAACCCUCAGAUUUUCCUAAUUUCAUUGAAUUGGAUGAUUGCAUACAACAACCCAAAGCAUUCUUCACAAUUUCUCUACAUGAAUUGCAUAAUAAAGAUACGAGCAAAGAUCAUUAAGUUCUAUGAAAAUCAUAAGCAUUGACGAGGCACUUGUAACUAUGAAUUCCAUGAAACUUAUGCCAAGAAUUUACUUAACACGAUUGUGACAAGCAACUUUUACUACUUAUGAAUAUAAGUUCAUAACGAUUAGGUGAAACUCCCUUAUAUCCUAGCAUCAAAUUUAUGCAUGAAAAUUAAGCGUGCACUCUCAACCAACACACACAAAUCAGUUUUAAUUCAAACAGAUAAGUAAAUAGAAUUCACAACUUAUGAAUCACAACUGGAUGUAAUCAAAUCAUAUUGUAAGUAUGAACAUGGUUUUGAAUUCCCCCCUAGCUAAGAGGGGUUUAGUUCCUCAUACUCACAAAGCAAAGAUUAUUGAAUUGAAACAUUGAAAACAAAAGAAAGAUUACACCUAAAACGUUCCAGCAAUCCUAGCUCGAAUGGCAAGCACGUCCAAGGACUGUCCUCAUUCCUUCUUGCUGCGGCACAAGGUUUAAUGGUGAGUUUUGGGGGUUAUGGAUGGUGUAGAAGGAUGGGUUUAUGGUUAGGAUAGAUGUAUGGUGCGGCAAAGGUUGAUUAAGGUCAGAAAUUAUGGACAAUCAUGAAGGAUGGAUGCGGCAGAGAGUGAGAAAUGAUUUCUGGCGUGAAUGGGUGAAUGAAUGGAUCCCCUAGGCUGCAAAAAGGAAGCCUAUUUAAGGUUUUCAGGAAUUAAAACCCUAACUUAUUUUGGUUAACAGAAAUUAAGUCAAAAGCUUCUGGAAAAAGGAAAUAAAAUCAGAAAACUAAGGGAAAUAGGCUAAGAUAUGCGGCAAGGAGAAAAACAUAAUAGGAAAGUGUUUUAAUGCAAGGAAAUAGGAAAGAACACUCUCCCUUGCACGGUAAGGAAGAGUAAAGGGCUAGGACGUGCGGCAAGGCCUUAGAUUGUGCAAGGAAUAUGUAUUUUGUGUCCUAGAAUGCUUAGAAGGCCUUCAAUGUUGCUGGAAUUUAGAGACAUUUAGGAUUAGGAAAGGUCAAACCCAAAAUAGGAAACCUUGACUUAACUUUCCUACUUCAAUUAGGAAUCCUCAUGUGAGUAGAAAUCCUCAUUCUUCUAGGAAUCCAUCUUCAAUUAGGAAUCCUAGCAUCUUUAGGUCUUCAAUUUCAUCCAUCUCCCUUGCCCCAAGCAUGUGAUAACCAUUCCAAGCCCAAUUUUGCUCCAAAAGGCUCCAAAAUGCACCUUCUUGCAUACUUUGUCCUUAGAACCUGAAAACACACAAAAAUGGUUUAAAAGACAAAAAUAACUAAGAAAUAACAACAUAAAUGCACAAGAACAAGCCAACUAAGUCGCCUAAAUAUGCUCCUAUCAAAUUCCCCCCACACUUAGCUUUUGCUAGUCCUUGAGCAAAACAAAACAAACAAAACAAACAAAACACAACCUAACCUUCCAACAUUUGCCUUAGGGAUUUUCAAUGCACAUGACAUGUUAAAAAUCACCAUUCCCACAGAUUUUGGUUAUCUUUACGCUUGAGCACAUACUUAAUCACAGUUACCACUUACUAGUUCACAAUUAACCAAUUAAAACGAUGUUUUGAAUGUAGUAACAUGCCUUAGAGAAUUUACUCAAUUCCUUACAAGAUACUCUCUAUUUUCACACAUUUUCUAACUACGCACCCUACUCUAGUUAUAUGUGAGAAGAUUGAUGUAAACAUGAAAGGCUAGUAUUCACAUAUGUUAUAACAAAGAAAGCAAUUUCUGGAGUUAAUAAGCAUGUUUAGAUAUGAUCUCAUGAAUGGAAUGCUACUACUUAGAUGCGAGAACCAGUGACACCAUAUGCUCAUACCAAUUUCAAACUCCACAAAUUGAAACACACAACACUCAAGAUUGAAGUCAAGGGUUGUAACGGGGCUUUGGAGUAAUGGCUAACAAAAAAAGGAUAGGGAUAACAAACGUUCUUAAAGCAAUAGCAAGCAAAGUAAUGAAAUUGAUACUUGGAAUUCACUUUAGAAUGUAGAAAUUAACUUUUAAACACAAGGGGACGAUUCAUGCAACACUUAAGGCCGAAUUUAACUUUUUGGACCCUUUUUUUCAACAAUCAACACUUUAAAGCUCUUUUUUCACAAAUUUUUCACUCCUUUUCAUUCUUUUCACAACUUUUCUUUUUUCUUUUUUUUUCUUCUCUACCCGUGCCUCAUUAAAGACUUUGGUACACACGCACACACAAGAAUCACUUCCCCCACACUUGCCUUCUGCAAUACAUUGAUAAAAAAGGAAUUCAUUUUAAGUCAUGCUUUACUAUGCUUCAAGAACAAGGGUAUGGAUGGUCCUAAACUAGGCUAGGUAAGGAUAGUGUGGGUUAACAAAGAACAUAGGCUUAACAAGGCUCAACAGGGUUAAACUUAAACACAUAAUGAAAUAAGGGCACGACAAUUUGGCUUUGGUGGUCACUACACAACUUCAUCUUGAAUAUGUGUUAUGCAAAUCAAUAGCAUGCUUUGAAUGAAACGGGCAUGAGUUCUAGCAUUUGGAACUAAAUAAUGAAACGCCUUCUAAGUAGCAACCAAGCAAAGAAUAAUGAGAUCAUGCAACGACAUAGAAAACAAGACUGCACAAAUUAUCAACUCUUCAAAUAAACGUUUAGGCUCAAGUCUUACAAGGUUGUAGCGUUAAUUUGAGUUGUUUUCUUCAAGCAUCUUACAAAAACUGAUUUUUCCUUUAUGCUUGCAUGUGAAUUCAAAAAUUAUAACCACAACCAAGCAUACACUCUAGAAGUAAAUCAAACUUUCAUCCAUGUUUAUAACUCUCUUUAACAGUCAUGCAAUUAAAAACCAAAUCCUCAUCAUUGUGUUGGAAGGUACCUUAAAACACAAACAAACACACAAAAACAACUCUUUUUGGGUUUUUCAAAACAAUUUUUCAAAUUUUUAUGAGAUUUUCUGAUUUUUAUGUCAAAACACCCUAAAACACUCCAAAACAGCUUAAAAAACACUCCAAAACAAUAAGGAACAACACUAGAAGUAAUGGGUGAUAAACUCCCAUGAAUUUCAUGCAAAACAACUUGUUUACCCCCCCCCACUUAAAUCAAACAUUUUCCUCAAUGUUUCAAGCAUAAACUCACACAAAAACAAGCAAACAAACAAACAACGAAUAAACACACUUAACAUGCAGAAUAGAAACAAAAGCAAAGAUAAGGGUGUAGGAACGCAAAUUUGGAAGUGGAGUGAUUCCUAGAUCUUCCUUUAUUGAAUGCAUGGGUUGCCUCCCACAUCGCGCUUGCUUUAACGUCGUGCAACCAGACGAGGAGCUCAUUCACUUCCCAUUAGAGCCCACGGCAUGCAGGGAGAUGUCAUCCACGACAUGCUCCUCAAAGUGCUCGUAGUAAGGCUUCAAACAAUGUCCGUUCACUUGGAAUUCAUGACCUGUUUUGAGACUUUAAAUCUGGAUGGCACCAUAAGGAAAGACAUUAGUAAUAACAAACAGUCCAAUCCACUUAGAACGUAACUUACCGGGAAACAAACGUAGACGGGAAUUGAACAAUAGCAUUUUCUGCCCUAUGGAGAAUGUUUUGCCACGAAGCAUUUUGUCAUGGAAAACCUUGGUCUUCUUCUUGUAAAUGCUGGCAUUCUCAUACAUCUCGUUCCUUAUCUUAUCAAGUUCAUGUAAUUGGAGUUUCCUAGGACUUCCCGCUACACCUAGGUCCAUGUUGAACUUCUUGACUGCCCAAUGAGCUUUAUGCUCCAAUUAGAUGGGGAGAUGGCAUGGCUUGCUAAAGAUGAGCCGAAAUGGGGACAUCCCAAUGGGUGUUUUGUACGCCGUACGAUAUGCCCACAGUGCAUCAUCUAAGCGUAAGCUCCAAUCCUUCCUUGUUGGCCCAACGGUCUUCUCAGAAUCUGUUUGAUCUUUCUAUUCGAAACCUCGGCUUGGCCAUUUGUUUGAGGAUGGUAAGGUGCAGAAACCUUAUGGUUGACAUUGUACUUCCUAAACAACGCCUCAAUGGUCCAAUUGCAAAAGUGAGACCCUCCAUCACUUAUGAUUACUCGUGGCAUGCCAAACCUUGUAAAUAUGUUAGUUAUAAUGAAAUCUGCAACCACUUUAGAAUCAUUAGUCCGGGUGGCUUUUGCUUUCACCCACUUUGACACAUAAUCAACCGCAAGCAAAAUAUACAUGAAACCAUACGAGGAAGGAAAGGGACCCAUAAAAUCAAUACCCCAAACAUAAAAAAUGUCAACAUUGAGGAUGGAAACUUGCGGCAUUUGAUCCCUUGCACUUAUAUUUCCUGUUCUUUGGCAUUUAUCACAUGUUAAGUAAAAAGUUCUAGCAUCCUUAAAGAUACUAGGCCAAUAGAACCCACAUUGUAACACCUUAAGUGUUGUUCUUUGUGUGCCAAAGUGACUGAUGGGGGCAUAUUUAUGCGACUUAAUUGGCUUUUCUCAUGCAUUUACAUUGUGUUUCCUUAGUUAUUUUAGUGUUUAAAGUCACUUUUGUGUGUUUCCAGACUCCAAGGACAAAGUACGCAAGAAGUUGCAUUUUGGAGCAUUUUGGAGCAAAAUGGAGCUUGGCAUCAUUAUCACAUGCUCGGAGCACAAGGAAUGGACGUAAUUGAAGAUUUGAGAAGUUAGGAUUCCUAAUCAACGAAGGAUCCCUAAUUGACGAAGAAUUCCUAAUUGAAGAAGGAUCCCUAAUUGACGAAGGAUUCCUAAUUGAAGAAGGAUUCCUAAUUGAAGAAUGAUUCCUAAUUGAAGAUGGAUUCCUAAUCACAUGAGGAUUCCUAGAAGAACAAGGAUUCCUACUCCAAGAAGGAUUCCUACUUGAAAUAGGAAAGUUAAGUCAAGGUUUCCUACUUUGGUUUGACCUUUCUUAAAUGUUCCUAAGUUUUAUAAACUUUGAAGGCAUCCUAAGCAUUCUAGGACAUCAAAUACACAUCCCUUGCACAUUAGGAACCCUUGCCGCACCUCCUUGCUCUUUCCUCUUCCUUGCCAUGCAAGGGAGAGGGUACUUUCCUAAUUCUAUGCAUUAAAACACAUUCCUUUUGUGUUUCAUACCCUAGCCGCACCUUUUAGCUAAUUUCCCUUAAGUUUCUGAUUUUGUUUCCUAAUUUUAGAAGUUUUAGACUUAAUUUCUAUUUACCAAAAUAGCCUAGGGUUUUUAAUUUCCUAAUCCCUUUAAAUAAACAUCCUUGUGCAGCCACAAACAUACUCAUUCAUCCAAAAACUAACCAUUCAUCACAGAAAUUCGUCCAUACACACCCUAGGCAGAAAAACACCCCAAAACAGCCGCUCCAUCUUCUUCCACCCUCUUUGCCGAGUUCUCCACCACCUUCCAACCAUCAAACACUCUCCUACACUCACCCUACACCCCUUGCCGUGCCUCUACACCCCCCAUAAUCCAGUCUACGUCAUAAAAAUAGCCCAGAAACCACCAACAUCCAAUCUGCCGCAAGCAAGGAAAGGGGACAGAUUCACUCAAUUGUUUGGCUCUUCAUUCUGAGUUGUUGAACAAUUUUAGGUGUAUUCUAUCUUAUAUUUCAAUGUCUAAUUCAUGUAAUCUUUGUUUUGCUUUAAGUAUGAUUGGCUAAAUUCGUUUUGGCUAAGGGUGUAUUCAAAACCAUGAUUAUAUAUGUGAAAUAAGUUGAUUACUUCCAGUUAUCGUUGCAUAAGUCGUGAAUAAAAUUUGCUUAACCGUUUGAUUUAGAACUUAUUCUUGUAUGUUGAUUGAGAGUGCACGCUUAAUUUGCAUGCUUGAAUUUGGUGCUAGGAUAUAAGUUUGUUUCACCUAAUCGUUAUGAGUUUAUAUUCGCAAGUAGUGAAGGUCGCUAGUCACGAUCGUGUUAAGUAGAUUCCUAGCAAGAGUAUCAUGCUUUUCAUAGUUACAAAUGCCUUGUCAAUGCUUAUGAUUUCCAAGGAACGUAAUGAUUCUAACUUGUUUCUUUAUCAUGAUGUUCAUAUAGAGAACUUGUUAGGAAUAAUUUGUUUGCGAUGCAUAUUCAUCCAAUUCAAUGAUUCUAGGGAAAUCUGAAGGUUAAUUUAAGCGGACCUUAUUAACUUGGAGUGUC